CUAUGUUUCUAAAAUUGAUCCAAAACCAACACAAAACUGAAAAAGUUCUUUGCCACCAAAAUGAUACCAUGUUUAACUUUACCCAAGCAUUUUGCAUACUGUUUUCACAAUAUAAUCAAUAAAUAUUAGUAUAUGCUCUUCCAAUAACACCAUUUUAUUGACUAAUCCGACAGAACUCUGAUGGUAACAUACUUGGAAGUGCUAGAAACAGCAGCUCUGUGCCCAAGAAUAUCUAUAA
rnacentral:misc_RNA from 1 species